AGUUAGCUGACGAGUCCCAAAUAGGACAAGUGAAAUGCGCAUCCUGGCU
rnacentral:hammerhead_ribozyme from 1 species